GACGAACGCUGGCGGCGUGCUUAACACAUGCAAGUCGAACGGAAAGGCCCUGCUUUUGUGGGGUGCUCGAGUGGCGAACGGGUGAGUAACACGUGAGUAACCUGCCCUUGACUUUGGGAUAACUUCAGGAAACUGGGGCUAAUACCGGAUAUGAGCUCCUGCUGCAUGGUGGGGGUUGGAAAGUUUCGGCGGUUGGGGAUGGACUCGCGGCUUAUCAGCUUGUUGGUGGGGUAGUGGCUUACCAAGGCUUUGACGGGUAGCCGGCCUGAGAGGGUGACCGGCCACAUUGGGACUGAGAUACGGCCCAGACUCCUACGGGAGGCAGCAGUGGGGAAUAUUGCAAAAUGGGCGGAAGCCUGAUGCAGCAACGCCGCGUGCGGGAUGACGGCCUUCGGGUUGUAAACCGCUUUCGCCUGUGACGAAGAGUGAGUGACGGUAAUGGGUAAAGAAGCACCGGCUAACUACGUG
rnacentral:rRNA from 1 species